UUUGCGGGAUUGUUACACGCUGCGGGGUGUUCCUCAGCACUUUGUCCCGUGUUCGGGGCUAUUUCUGAGUGGGUUUAAAGCGACAGAGAGGGUGUCAGCUCCAGGCCGUGUUUGUGCCCGCGUUUGUUUGUCUGCUGCUUGAAGCAGUUUGAUCGACUUUCCUAGGCCCCGGCCAGGAUUUAAGCCCUAUACUGCAAUGAUUCUGCCACCGGAAAGGAGGUUGUGAGCUGGUGACCUGUCUCCUUUCACAAGUACCAAGUGAUAAGACAAGAGAAAAUGAACUCAGGCUGCACCAGAGAUAGAGAGUGUGGGACAAUGUCAGACCUAGCUGGCACAAACCCUUCGGGAGGAAGCAAAGAAAAUUGAGGAAUCCAGGGAAAAGUAAAAUCUGCAUUGGAAGAAGAUGGAGCUGAUAAUGGAGGCAAUUCACAAAACCAGGAAAAUGCAGUCCAAGAAGACUAUGGAGGUAAAGCAAACGUUCUGAUAUUUCUUGCUAUAUGGCUUAACACAUCUAACACACGUGCACAGUGGUGGCGCAGUCUUAAAUAUGAGGGUUUU